GCCAGCUUUUGCUGUUGGAAUCCAGGGUGGAGUCCCAGGUCCCUAGGCCGGUUUCACGCCGAUCUGACGCGUCCUGUGUCCUACCCUCUCCCAGUCCCAAGCAGUCUGUUGGUGAGGCCGCAUUCAGUUGUGCGGCUGCAGGAAAAUGGAUCCAGAAAAACGUUAGCGGUAAUUGGGGUCGCUUCCAUUUUGAAGCUAUUAAAACAUUGUUCCAUCUUUUGAUGUAUCUAUUGGUGCGUGUAUCGGUCAGACGCCAGCAAACAGAAGUCGUGAAUCAAGGUUAUGGCCAUGUUCAGAAUUAUUGGAUAUAUUUAAUGUCUUCCAAAGUGUCUAUGUUAAUUUAUACUCUCAGCAGCAGCAUAUGGAAAUUGAAGCUCAACCUUCCCAUCAACACUUUUUUUUUUCACUUUGUUGGGUGAUAAUUGAGUUGGCUGUUUUUAAUUUGCAUCUCUGUGAUAAUGAAGUUGAGCACGAUCAUUUUGUUUGCUUGUUUAUUUUGAGACAACAUCAGACGUAGCUCAGGCCGGCCUGGAAUGCAUCACGUGGCUGAGAAUGACUUCUUUUUUCUUUUAAAGCAUUUACUUAUAAGAUUGUGCCUUGGUGCGCAUUUGGAGGGAGUCAGCUCUAUCCUCCUACCCUGUCGAUUCUGGGGAUGGAUUCAGUUCAGCAGGCUUGGCAGCCGGGGCCUUUCGUGUUGAGCCAUGUCUCCACAUGCUGGGGUAACCUUGCUCUGUUGACUCUUCUCUGUACAGACUUCGCUACCAUCCUCGCCCACUGAGCCCCUUUUCAUCUGGAGCAUUUGCUAACUUUUUUUUCUUUUUUGCACCCCAUCCCUUUUUUUUUUUUCCUGAAUGUUUGGUAUCCUCUUGGCACUUGACUAUGAAGCAUCUUGAGUAUUCAGCAAAA